GGGGAUGUAAAGGUUUCGACGGGGAUUUUGAGGUAUGAUAAGCGCAGCGAGCUGAGUAAUCUCGUAAAAGGCUCAACCUUAAAAAAUAAACGACAACAAUAAAGUUGCUCUGGCUGCUUAAGUAGGGAUUCCGGGUUUUCCCGGAUAACCGAAGGAGCAGUGCCGCGGCUUAUUAUGCCGCCCGUUCCGUUAAGAGGGACCACGGACUUAACGGAGCGUCAUGAUAGUGGUAAAAGUGCAUCGGCUGUUCGCCCUUGAGCCGGUCAGUCAGAAAAGGGCUACCUUGACGGAAGGUGUGUCUGUUCACAUUUCGGAAAGGGAAUUUUAAAUAACAGACUGUCUGCGAAGAAAGUCAUAUCAAGAGGUUUUCGGACACGGGUUCGACUCCCGUCAUCUCCACCA
rnacentral:tmRNA from 1 species